UGAGGAAUAUUGGACAAUGGGCGCAAGCCUGAUCCAGCCAUGCCGCGUGCAGGAAGAAGCAUCUAUGGUGUGUAAACUGCUUUUGUACGGGAAGAAACACUCCUACGUGUAUGCGCUUGACGGUACCGUAAGAAUAAGGAUCGGUUAACUCCGUGCCAGCAGCCGCGGUAAUACGGAGGAUCCAAACGUUAUCCGGAAUCAUUGGGUUUAAAGGGUACGUAGGCGGUUUAAUAAGUCAGUGGUGAAAGCCCAUCGCUCAACGAUGGAACGGCAAUUGAUACUGUUAGACUAGAAUUACAAAGAAGUAACUAGAAUAUGUAGUGUAGCGGUGAAAUGCUUAGAUAUUACAAGGAAAACCAAUAGCGAAGGCAGGUAACUACUUGUGGAUUGACGCAGAUGGGCGAAAGCGUGGGGAGCGAACA
rnacentral:rRNA from 1 species